AGCGAACGCUGGCGGCAUGCCUAACACAUGCAAGUCGAACGAGACCUUCGGGUCUAGUGGCGCACGGGUGCGUAACGCGUGGGAACCUGCCUUUAGGUUCGGAAUAACUCAGAGAAAUUUGAGCUAAUACCGGAUGAUGUCUUCGGACCAAAGAUUUAUCGCCUUUAGAUGGGCCCGCGUUGGAUUAGCUAGUUGGUGGGGUAAAGGCCUACCAAGGCGACGAUCCAUAGCUGGUCUGAGAGGAUGAUCAGCCACACUGGGACUGAGACACGGCCCAGACUCCUACGGGAGGCAGCAGUGGGGAAUAUUGGACAAUGGGCGAAAGCCUGAUCCAGCAAUGCCGCGUGAGUGAUGAAGGCCUUAGGGUUGUAAAGCUCUUUUACCCGAGAUGAUAAUGACAGUAUCGGGAGAAUAAGCGCCGGCUAACUCCGUG
rnacentral:rRNA from 1 species